CAGGUUUACCUGUGUGACUGCGUACCUUUUGUAUAAUGGGUCAGCGACUUAUAUUCUGUAGCAAGGUUAACCGCAUAGGGGAGCCGAAGGGAAACCGAGUCUUAACCGGGCGUUAAGUUGCAGGGUAUAGACCCGAAACCCGGUGAUCUAGCCAUGGGCAGGUUGAAGGUUGGGUAACACUAACUGGAGGACCGAACCGACUAAUGUUGAAAAAUUAGCGGAUGACCUGUGGCUGGGGGUGAAAGGCCAAUCAAACCGGGAGAUAGCUGGUUCUCCCCGAAAGCUAUUUAGGUAGCGCCUCGUGAACUCAUCUCCGGGGGUAGAGCACUGUUUCGGCUAGGGGGCCAUCCCGGCUUACCAACCCGAUGCAAACUGCGAAUACCGGAGAAUGUUAUCACGGGAGACACACGGCGGGUGCUAACGUCCGUCGUGAAGAGGGAAACAACCCAGACCGCCAGCUAAGGUCCCAAAGUCAUGGUUAAGUGGGAAACGAUGUGGGAAGGCCCAGACAGCCAGGAUGUUGGCUUAGAAGCAGCCAUCAUUUAAAGAAAGCGUAAUAGCUCACUGGUCGAGUCGGCCUGCGCGGAAGAUGUAACGGGGCUAAACCAU
rnacentral:rRNA from 1 species